CCUGUGUUUUCACUCGCGUUAUCUUGUAAAUCGAUUGAAUGUCUGUAAGCACUUAUCUUACACAUGCCGCUAUGACCUGAAGGUUGUGUUUGGCRAUGAUUUCCGAUACUUUGUAUAUCAACAGUUUCAAGUUCACUUUUCAACAAUUCACUGCAACAAUGUGCCUCCUCAUUCAGAAAUACACUUCAUAGCCUAUUUGGUAAUUUUUACUUUAGACCUGUUUUCAUUGACUUUAGUUUUGCCAAGGUUAUGUUCACCAGACAUUGCAAUAUCAUAACGAGUUAUUAAGAUGAUUAAUGACGGAUAUCAAUAAAAAAUAAGGGAAAUCACAACAAGAACUAAUAAUAUAUAUUAGUCCUGUUGCAAUGCAAAAASGACAUAAAUAGGAACAAAUACAUGUAGAGAUUAAAUAUAAGCAAUAUUUGUGAUAUUACUCUGRACUACACAUUAAAGGACUUCGAAAAAUUUUA